rnacentral:rRNA from 1 species
GAUGAACGCUGGCGGCGUGCCUAAUACAUGCAAGUCGAGCGAACAGAUGAGGAGCUUGCUCCUCUGACGUUAGCGGCGGACGGGUGAGUAACACGUGGAUAAUCUACCUAUAAGACUGGGAUAACUUCGGGAAACCGGAGCUAAUACCGGAUAAUAUAUUGAACCGCAUGGUUCAAUAGUGAAAGACGGUUUUGCUGUCAGUUAUAGAUGGAUCCGCGCCGCAUUAGCUAGUUGGUAAGGUAACGGCUUACCAAGGCAACGAUGGGUAGCCGACCUGAGAGGGUGACAGGCCAAAGUGGAAGUGAGAUACGGCCAAGACUACUAGGGGAGGAAGUAGUGGGGAAUAUUGAACAAUGGGAGGAAGCAUGAUGCAGCAACGACGCGUGCGGGAUGACGGCAGUCGGGUUGUAAACAGAUUUCGACUGUGACGAAGCGUGAGUGACGGUAAUGGGUAAAGAAGCACCGGCUAACUACGUG